rnacentral:rRNA from 1 species
AUUUAACGCUGGCGGCAGGCCUCACACAUGCAAGUCGGGCGAGCGUCGGACGGGUGAGUAAUGUAUUGGUAUCUGCCUGAUGGCGGUGGAUAACUACUGGAAACGGUAGCUAAUACCGCAUACCAUCAACUGAACCCAUAUGGGAUUAGCUUGUAGGUGCGGUAACGGCUCACCUAGGCGACGAUCCCUAGCUGGUCUGAGAGGAGGAUCGGCCAAACUGGGACUGAGACAAGGCCCAGACUCCUACGGGAGGCAGCAGUGGGGAAUAUUGCGCAAUGGGCGCAAGCCUGAUGCAGCCAUGCCGCGUGUAUGAAGAAGGCCUUCGGGUUGUAAAGUACUUUCAGUAGGGAAGCGGUACCGAAAGAAGAAGCAACGGCUAACUACGUGCCAGCAGCCGCGGUAAUAC